AUACGGAGGGUGCAAGCGUUAAUCGGAAUUACUGGGCGUAAAGCGUACGUAGGCGGUUCGUUAAGUUAGAUGUGAAAGCCCCGGGCUUAACCUGGGAACUGCAUUUAAAACUGGCGAACUAGAGUUGAGUAGAGGGGAGUGGAAUUUCAGGUGUAGCGGUGAAAUGCGUAGAGAUCUGAAGGAACACCAGUGGCGAAGGCGACUCCCUGGACUCGAACUGACGCUGAGGUACGGAAGCGUGGGUAGCAAACGGGAUUAGAAACCCCUGUAGUCC
rnacentral:rRNA from 1 species